UCUGCUUCUAUGUUUGCUAAUAUCCCAUAGGCAGGACAUGUAGUCAAGCCUAAAGUUAAUGGGCGGAGAAGUGUACUCUGCCUUUAGGGGGAGAAACUGUACAGUCACAUGGUAGAGGAUGUGAAUUCAGGAGUGGUGAAUAAGUAGGAGUCACAGUCAAACCUACUGUAGGUAUGAAGAACCUAAGUUAUACCAUUUACAUAACAAUGCAUUCUUUAUUCUUAGCAUUUACAGGGCACUAGAGAAAGAUUUUUGUUUAUUUAAAUUCAUUAACCAUUCAUGGAGUACCUACUUCAUAUAAUGUACUGAGCAAAAGCUAAAGGCAUAUAUUGUAUAUAGAGUACCUGAUUCCUGAGAGGCUAAUGGUGGGAAUUAGGAGAACUCAUAAUCAGUGCUGAGUCAGGACUUGGUGUAAUCGCCCAAUGUGUCCACAAGGACUGCACUAGCCAGGAGUCUUAUUAUUUUGCUUUAAUCUUCGUUGCUUUUUAAAUUAUUUCAAAGGCAAGAAAUAUUUAUUUUAGAAAAUUGAAAAGUAUAUCUAUGCAUAAAGGAGAAAUUAAAAUAUGCCCGUACUCCCACCAUCCGUAAGUAAACAAUUAUUUGCUUUAAUGAACUAGAUAGAAAGAUAGGUCGAGAUCAUGUAGGUAAGUAGAUAGAUAGUAAAUUGACUAAUUGGUUGUAGAGGAGUGCUUUUCUAUCUUUUACUUAAUGUAACAUGUAUACAUUCAAUGUCAGUAAAUAUUCAUCUCUAUACAUGUCAUUAAUGCUGCUUAAUAUUCUGUCAUGCUAAUAUAGCAUAUUUUAUUUCACUAAUUUAAUGAUAAACGGGUAAAUCUCAUUUUUGCUAUUAUAGACAAUGUUGUUUUGUAAAUGUUGUACAUCUCUAAAUACUUGAAGUACAAAAAAGCAGAAGGGAUGUAAAAGAAAUAUCAAUAAUGUUUCUUAUCAGGGAAGAGUUUAUUUUUCAAGAGAUUUUAAAGCAAAAAUCCAAAGGCUAUAGCUAGGUUCCAAAUUUGGAGAAAUAAUCUAAAGGGAACAGUAUGUUCAAAGCAAGGGAAAUAAAGGGGCAUUUCAAUUAGACACCCAAGGCCAGUCUCCAGAGAAGACACAAGGACCAUAGCAUCCAAAAUUCAAACCACAGAAGAAAAAUGUGUGUUCCGGGGAGAAAGACAUUUUAGGAUUUGUUGUUAAGAUGGGUAAGAUGAGGGUAGCUGGGAGGUAAAUUGUACAAGGCAAAGGAACAAUUCUGUACAAGGCAACACAAAUGUGUGCACCCAAUCCUGCUGGUGUGGAAAGAUAUCCAGUCAUCAAACUGCAAAUGGCAGUGGGUUUACAAGUCAAAGGCACAGUUGACGAGGCUUACAGGGCAUGUCUACAGUUCUGGCACUGAAACAACUGGUGGUUUCAACUAAUAGAAAAAAAUAAGCAAAACUGAGCUUCCAUAUUUUAUAGCCUUGCAAAAAUACAAGCUAGUAAUCAGUUCAUGAUCUGUCGGUAUCAGCCUGACUUUCUAAGGUGGAAAAAGGGCGAAUCAAUAUCUUACUGCAGUUGUAUGAGCAAUGAUAUUGCGUCUAUUCCUAAGGCUGGUUUGCCGUGGUCUGGAUGUGGUUGGGAAGAUACUCUAAAGCAAAUUCUGACACCUAAAGUGAAAUAGUCCUAUAGAUUAUCUAUAAAGAAUUCUUUGAUUUAAAUGCUAGGACAAGAGCCUCAGCAUCUCAGAGAAGUGCCUAAAAUUAGGGUACUCUGCUAAACUGAGAGUAUGAGAAUGUUCUCAUUUGUAUGGCAUUAAAUAUCAAGCAAUUCUUUUCUAAAAUUUGGCUUUGAAGGCCCAGAAUUUAAAUUUGCAGGGCUCUUGACUAUCAAAAGAUAUUAGUGUAAUCCAUUCUAUUUGUAUAGCAUUUGUGUUGAUCUUCCCAUCAAUUCAAUGAGGUAUAGAAGGCAAACGGUAAAACACUACUAUAAUGGAUCAGGCUGCUGAGAAUCGUGAAGGGCUGUGCUGGAGGUCACCCUUAGAACAUGGUAAUGACAGGCUAUAGUUACCAUGUCCUGGCUACCAGCGCAGGGUCCUUUUCUCCUUACCCACCCACUCUCUUACAACACAUUUAAGACAACCUCAAAUGUGUUUUUCAGAGAAUUUGGCAUUCUAUAUCUUUCAAAUCUCCACUUAAAUUCCCAAAUUGUGUGGUUUUAUUCUUUAUUGCGGAAAAUCUUUUUUAAAAUAUCAGUUGCUAAAAUGUCCAUUUUAUUGUUCUAGAUGUCAAGUUGAAAGGAUGAACUGGAAUCUUUGAUGAUCAAACUGAUGGAACAGAUGAUCAGUUCUCAUCCUCCAAAGUUGUGACUGUAGAUGGUGUAGGAGACUGAGCUGAAAAUGUAUUGCACCCAGUAGUUUAAAUUCUGAGCUCUUGAGAGAAGAGACUGGGUGCAUUUUGUUCAAUCUUCUAUCCUGGAUGCCUACUAG
rnacentral:lncRNA from 10 species